CAUUACGAAGCGUCCCUUGUCUGUAUUAUUUCUCCUGUUUGACCUUUGCUUGUUUUUGACUCCGUGUUUUGCCUCUCCCAUUUGGACUCUAUUUUCUCGUUUUGGAUCUUUGCUUGUUUUUCUAGUUCAUCUCCUGUUUCGCCACAGAGCCAGGACAUGUGGACGCUUUCUGAUAAGGAGGUAGAAAACCGCAACACAGAGGGAUGGCCGGCCAGUAUCUGCAUCCGUGACUUCAGUGGCUUCCAGCGCAAUUAAUGGCAUGGAGAUUGCUGGACAGCCAUGCUAAUGCCGGAUGCGGAUGCGUUCGUUGGCUAGCCAGGAGUUGAAGAGACACUCGGCAAACUUGCCACUACAUCGAGGAGCAUAAAUACCAGUACAGCAGCUUUAACGAGGACCAACGGACUUACACGUGGCCUUGCAGGGUCUGCAAGUUGUUGGGCACCAAAAAGCUGAAACCAUGUCUUUGAAUCAGGGAACAGGCAAAGGAUGGACUGAUUUAUAG